rnacentral:lncRNA from 1 species
AGCGGCGCACUUCCAAGGGAAACUGGAGGGAUUAUUAUGUUAUCUUUCAGUCGUACAAUCAUCAAGGAAGGGAUUGAUAAUUAAAGAAAAUUAGUUACUGCUUGGUUGCCUUGUUCGUCCAGUAGCUAAACGAGAGGCAUCGGUCUUUCGAAUUGAAAUUUCAGCAACCGCCUAGAGAUUAAGACCAGUGGAGACUGUUUGGUUGGUGUUUUGAAUUUUGCAUGGUUAAGGGACUUUUCAUUAGCGAGGUAAGUGAGACUUUAAAUUUUGGUGUUUGCUUUUCUAAAAUCCGUUUUAAAAAUAAAUUAUCUCUGUCCGGUCUAUGUGUUGGGACAAGCGUGUACUUGGCAGAAUCGGUGGUCUUAGACUAGCCGCAAAUAUAUUAUUGUAUGAAAAAUACAAAAUAAAAAAAAAUAUAUUAUUUUAUAAGUUGUUUGAUAGUUUGAUACGGCUGUGAGCCAUGUGUUGAGUUUGAUACGGCUGUGUGCCUUGAUGUUGAGUUUGAUAGUUUGAUACGGCUGUGUGCCACGAUGUUGAGUUUGAUACGGCUGUGCGCCAUGAUAUUGAGUUUGUUACGGCUGUGCGCCAUGAUGUUGAGUUUGAUACGGCUGUGCGCCAUAAUGUUGGGGCAUUGUGUAUGCUCUAUUACAUAUUUGAGGCAUUGUGGUGCCGUUGUGGACUCGUAGGUGUGUUGGUAAAUUUCUUUCACUGUAAUUAUGAUAAGUCCUUAGUGGGUACUCUUGUUGGUUAAUUCUUAACAACUCUGUUGAUACAUAUAUAUUGAGUUAUUGUAUAAUUAUUAUAUUUACUACAUCAUUCGUGUUGUGGCAUGUUUGUAUUUUCUAACACUUGUUCCACAGGUAUUUAAAGUGGCGGGUCGAGGAUCUUACUGGGUUAUAUUUAUAUAUAACUCACUCCUUACUUGCAUCUCUAUGCAGAUACCGGUGCGGAAGAUAGAGCUAGUGGCUGACGAGUUGUUCGAGUGGAUCCUAUUGCUGAGGUGAGCCACCGCAUUGUUCGUGGAGGCUUUCGUUUCAUACUUACCUAGCUCGUGUUAGUUAUUUCCUUUUUCUUUGGGGCUUGUAUACCCGUCAAUAAAACUCAUG